rnacentral:rRNA from 1 species
GGUCAAGUGAAGAAGCGCAUACGGUGGAUGCCUUGGCAGUCAGAGGCGAUGAAAGACGUGGUAGCCUGCGAAAAGCUUCGGGGAGUCGGCAAACAGACUGUGAUCCGGAGAUGUCUGAAUGGGGGAACCCAGCCAUCAUAAGAUGGUUAUCUUGUACUGAAUACAUAGGUGCAAGAGGCGAACCAGGGGAACUGAAACAUCUAAGUACCCUGAGGAAAAGAAAUCAACCGAGAUUCCCUUAGUAGUGGCGAGCGAACGGGGACCAGCCCUUAAGUUGUAUUGAGAUUAGCGGAACACUCUGGAAAGGGUGGCCAUAGUGGGUGAUAGCCCUGUACGCGAAAAUCCCUUUGCAAUGAAAUCGAGUAGGACGGGGCACGAGAAACCUUGUCUGAAUAUGGGGGGACCAUCCUCCAAGGCUAAAUACUACUGACUGACCGAUAGUGAACCAGUACCGUGAGGGAAAGGCGAAAAGAACCGCGGAGAGCGGAGUGAAAUAGAUCCUGAAACCGUAUGCGUACAAGCAGUGGGAGCCCACUUUGUUGGGUGACUGCGUACCUUUUGUAUAAUGGGUCAGCGACUUAUUUUCAGUGGCGAGCUUAACCGAAUAGGGGAGGCGUAGCGAAAGCGAGUCUUAAUAGGGCGUCUAGUCGCUGGGAAUAGACCCGAAACCGGGCGAUCUAUCCAUGGGCAGGUUGAAGGUUGGGUAACACUAACUGGAGGACCGAACCGACUACCGUUGAAAAGUUAGCGGAUGACCUGUGGAUCGGAGUGAAAGGCUAAUCAAGCUCGGAGAUAGCUGGUUCUCCUCGAAAGCUAUUUAGGUAGCGCCUCAUGUAUCACUGUAGGGGGUAGAGCACUGUUUCGGCUAGGGGGUCAUCCCGACUUACCAAACCGAUGCAAACUCCGAAUACCUACAAGUGCCGAGCAUGGGAGACACACGGCGGGUGCUAACGUCCGUCGUGAAAAGGGAAACAACCCAGACCGUCAGCUAAGGUCCCAAAGUCAUGGUUAAGUGGGAAACGAUGUGGGAAGGCUUAGACAGCUAGGAGGUUGGCUUAGAAGCAGCCACCCUUUAAAGAAAGCGUAAUAGCUCACUAGUCGAGUCGGCCUGCGCGGAAGAUGUAACGGGGCUCAAACCAUGCACCGAAGCUACGGGUAUCAUCUUUUGAUGAUGCGGUAGAGGAGCGUUCUGUAAGCCUGUGAAGGUGAGUUGAGAAGCUUGCUGGAGGUAUCAGAAGUGCGAAUGCUGACAUGAGUAACGACAAUGGGUGUGAAAAACACCCACGCCGAAAGACCAAGGUUUCCUGCGCAACGUUAAUCGACGCAGGGUUAGUCGGUCCCUAAGGCGAGGCUGAAAAGCGUAGUCGAUGGAAAACAGGUUAAUAUUCCUGUACUUCUGGUUAUUGCGAUGGAGGGACGGAGAAGGCUAGGCCAGCCUGGCGUUGGUUGUCCAGGUUUAAGGUGGUAGGCUGAGAUCUUAGGUAAAUCCGGGAUCUUAAGGCCGAGAGCUGAUGACGAGUGUUCUUUUAGAACACGAAGUGGUUGAUGCCAUGCUUCCAAGAAAAGCUUCUAAGCUUCAGGUAACCAGGAACCGUACCCCAAACCGACACAGGUGGUUGGGUAGAGAAUACCAAGGCGCUUGAGAGAACUCGGGUGAAGGAACUAGGCAAAAUGGCACCGUAACUUCGGGAGAAGGUGCGCCGGUGGAGGUGAAGCAUUUACUGCGUAAGCCCCUGCCGGUCGAAGAUACCAGGCCGCUGCGACUGUUUAUUAAAAACACAGCACUCUGCAAACACGAAAGUGGACGUAUAGGGUGUGACGCCUGCCCGGUGCCGGAAGGUUAAUUGAUGGGGUUAGCGCAAGCGAAGCUCUUGAUCGAAGCCCCGGUAAACGGCGGCCGUAACUAUAACGGUCCUAAGGUAGCGAAAUUCCUUGUCGGGUAAGUUCCGACCUGCACGAAUGGCGUAACGAUGGCGGCGCUGUCUCCACCCGAGACUCAGUGAAAUUGAAAUCGCUGUGAAGAUGCAGUGUAUCCGCGGCUAGACGGAAAGACCCCGUGAACCUUUACUAUAGCUUUGCACUGGACUUUGAAUUUGCUUGUGUAGGAUAGGUGGGAGGCUUUGAAGCGUGGACGCCAGUCUGCGUGGAGCCAACCUUGAAAUACCACCCUGGCAACUUUGAGGUUCUAACUCAGGUCCGUUAUCCGGAUCGAGGACAGUGUAUGGUGGGUAGUUUGACUGGGGCGGUCUCCUCCUAAAGAGUAACGGAGGAGUACGAAGGUGCGCUCAGACCGGUCGGAAAUCGGUCGUAGAGUAUAAAGGCAAAAGCGCGCUUGACUGCGAGACAGACACGUCGAGCAGGUACGAAAGUAGGUCUUAGUGAUCCGGUGGUUCUGUAUGGAAGGGCCAUCGCUCAACGGAUAAAAGGUACUCCGGGGAUAACAGGCUGAUACCGCCCAAGAGUUCAUAUCGACGGCGGUGUUUGGCACCUCGAUGUCGGCUCAUCACAUCCUGGGGCUGAAGCCGGUCCCAAGGGUAUGGCUGUUCGCCAUUUAAAGUGGUACGCGAGCUGGGUUUAGAACGUCGUGAGACAGUUCGGUCCCUAUCUGCCGUGGACGUUUGAGAUUUGAGAGGGGCUGCUCCUAGUACGAGAGGACCGGAGUGGACGAACCUCUGGUGUUCCGGUUGUCACGCCAGUGGCAUUGCCGGGUAGCUAUGUUCGGAAAAGAUAACCGCUGAAAGCAUCUAAGCGGGAAACUUGCCUCAAGAUGAGAUCUCACUGGAACCUUGAGUUCCCUGAAGGGCCGUCGAAGACUACGACGUUGAUAGGUUGGGUGUGUAAGCGCUGUGAGGCGUUGAGCUAACCAAUACUAAUUGCCCGUGAGGCUUGACCAU